CUGGUAUUUGCACUGUUGGAUUCUGUAAUCAAGAUCUGCAAUUGUUGACAUCAGCUCUUAGAAAGUGAGUGUGAUAUAUAAGUUUAAAUAAGAAAAUAAAACUCAUACGAUCUUGAGAAUAGACAUAUAUAGAGCUGGGGCUGAUCACAUGCGAAUUUUCAAUCCGUUAGAACCGAACUGAAAUUGUUUACACGUUUGCAUGGCAGCGUACUGCCAUAUUUAAACCGGGCUGAAACCCCGCUCAGGAUGAAAAUCGUACGGCUUUAUUUUAUCGUUAAGCCAGGCGCACACACUGCGAUUUUAUGCACCUAUCAAUGUUUCCCCCUGGGGGGGGGGGGUGCGGGCAACCGAGGGGAAUUUUGACAUUUUCAAAAUUUUGUCGUCAAAAUCCCCACUGUUGGGCAAGGAAUGGCUGUCAAAAUUCCCCAUUAUAUUCCUAUGAUAACAAGACACACAUAUGUUUUCCAAUGCGAACAUACAGUCUAUACUGGUUUAAACUUGGUAAAAAUUGAGACACUGUGUAUAAAAUACCUUUUUCGAUGAAACUUGAUCGUGCUUCUCCGCCAUAUUUGUUACCAGGCCUUUUAAUGUCAAAACCGCGCAAACUUUCAAGAUGGCGGAUGUCAAAAUUUCCCGACUCUGGGAGUUGAUGCAUAGAUCAAAUUCCCCUCCCCUGUGCUUCAUAGUGGUGUCAAAGUCCCCUGGGUCGCCCGCACCCCCCCCCCCCCCCCCCCCCCCAGGGGGAAAACAAUGAUAGGUGCAUUAGUCGGCCGAUUUAAGGUUAGGUGCAUGAUUUUGGCAAAUCUGGCUAUGUAGAUGAGCCCACAGAUCCUAUAUCACUGAUUGUUUUUGCCGAAAACAUCCAUCUAAACCUGAAUCGGCCGACUAAAAUCGCAGUGUGUGCGCCUGGCUUUAGGCCGUGAAAUUUCACGGGCUAAAACUUGGAAAGAACCCUAUGAAACUUCAUGUAAACCAGCGAUGUAAUCUGUCUCGUUCACAGGUCCUCGUGCCUUUUGGGAAAGUCGCAAUUUUUGGUGGACAUGCCAUGAUCUUCUAAACGAAAUGGUUUCUGAUCACUUCGUGCUAGCUGAGACACUGUCUAUUCGAAAUCUAUAUCAACGUGAAUAACAUGUUUAACCACAUUAAGUUGCAUUGCGCCC